CGCCGGCGCAGUUCAUUCGCCGUCUUCCCGAUUCCGAUGGAAGCACCGGUGACCGCCGGCGAUGUGAGAUAUCAUCAUCUGAGUAAAUUGUUGCUAUUUUGAUCCACUGCUGUCUGAACUCCUCUGUGAUUCGUUUACAAGAAAAUCCUGGUGACCACUGAAAUGGAUGAGUCUCGCAAAUUUCGUGUAAAUUUCGAUUAAAUACGAACCAAAUUUGACAAACUUAACCAAACUUAGUGAAAUUCAGAUGAAAUGGGUGCGAAAUGCUGUCUCGGACCUCACCAAAAUAGGUGAAAAAUUCACCGAAAUUUGGACCUUUCGGUUCGAAUCCGAGAAUGCUGGUCUGAAUUCCCCCAUCAAGUGUUAGGUAUGGGCUUAGAAUUAAUCAGAGACAUAACCCUUAUUUACUUUAUGUAAAUUAUGCAGAAGCCUAGUGUUAGACCCCGCAAUUGUUUCUACUAAUGCAAUGACUUCUCUGAAGCAUGCAAAUAACUGGAGUACAUGCUAGGUGGAUUUCAUUUAACAUUUCUCUGUCUAUGAUUCAUACUUCCCCAAUCUAAUAUUCUCCCUAUGGUAUAACUAAAGUGAAUAAACUCAAUUGAUGGUUACAGUAGAAG
rnacentral:lncRNA from 1 species